rnacentral:lncRNA from 1 species
AGGUUUAAAUAAGUAAAAAUCUCAUAAGACUGGAUGAAGACGUAAAAAGUCAUUACAGAAUUUCCCAAAACCUGGGUGUCAUUGAGUACAUGUGCAUCUAUAUAAUGACAUAGUUUGAGACACUGUCUAAGAAAGUAGAACUGAAUAAGUAAAACUGAGAGAUAGGGAAAGGAGAGUCAAGGUCUGCAGACUCCAAGGCAGCUACCUCGAUAAUCUCCGAACGGCUGAAACACCUGAAUCUGCAUACAAAUUGUAGGGUGUAGCGUGAGUACAAUCAACUCAAUAAGUAAGAAUUAUAGUCCACAUACAGAAUUAACAGUACGGAGAAUUACAGAAAUUAGGGCAACAAUAUCACAGAGAAUUCAUAAUAUGCAGGUAACAGUACAAGAAUUUAGACACACUUCCACAUUUAACAGUUAAGCUCAAUACAGGUAAAGUCGGAAUGAUAUGAGGGAUAUGACAUCUCUAUAUCUAUAUUCCAAUAUGCAUAUCGUAUGUGGUGCAACACAAUGAAGCCUCGCGUACUCACACUCUUCGCUGGUGCAAUCGUAUCAUACCUGGUGCACUUCAGCAAUCCCUCAAGUCCAAACUUCAAUCUGUUAACCAUCCGAACUCCACUCGAGGCCCUUGGGACCUCAACCAAACAUAGUAACAAGUCCUAAAGUAUGACACAUACUUAGACGAGGCCUCAAAACACAUCAAACAACAUCAAAAGCACGAAUCUCACCUCAAUUCGAGCCUAAUGAAAACUACAAACUUCCAACUUCUUCAAUCGAUGCCAAAACCUAUCAAAUCACGUCUUAUUAACCCCAAAUUUUGCACAUAAGACAUAAAUGACAAAAUAGAUCUAUUCCAACUCUCGUAACAAAAAUCUGAGUCUGUUAGCCACAAAGUCAACUCUUGGUCUAACUUUCCAAUUUUCAACACUUCUAAUUUUCCGACUUUCACCAUUUCAACACAAAAUUAACUACGGACUUCCAAAUUACUAUCCGGACUCACUUCUAAGUCCAAAAUCACCAUACAGAGCUAGAGGAACCAUGAAAACUCUAUUCCGGACCAUUUACACACAUCCGGUCAACCUUUUUAAUUUAAGAUUCCAAUGUUGAGACUAAGUAUCUCAACUGAUUCUCAAAUGUCCGCGGACCCAAACCAACUACCCCGACAAGUCACAUAACAAUAGUUCAGCAUCGAAUAAGCAUUCAAUGGGGAAACGUGGCUACAAUAUUCAAAAUGACCGGCCGGGUCAUCAUAUCCUCCCCCUGUUGAACAAACGUUUGUCCUCGAAAGGGUCUAGAAACAUGCCUGGAGUAUCAAAUAGGCAUGGACAUCUGCUCCGCAUCUCCUGCUCGGUCUCCCAAGUAGCCUCCUCAACUGUUGACCUCUCCAUUGUAGCUUCAAUGAAGCUAUGUUCUUUGACCUCAACUUUAGAACCUACCUAUCCAAAAUGGCUACCGGCUCCACAUCAUAAGUCAAAUCACAAUACAAAUGAAUCGUGCUGAAUUCCAUACAAUUAAAGGAUCAUCGAUAUAUUUUCGAAGCAUCAAAACAUGAAACACUAGAUGAACACUUGACAGACUAGGCGGUAAUACAAGGUUGAAGGCAAACAAUCUCGCGGAUGUUGAUCUCAGCCAACCUCUCUAAUGAAUAAGUAGUACCAAUUGGAAUAAAAUGCACGGACUUGGUCAACUGAUCCACAAUCACCGAAAUAGCAUACCAUUUCCUUGAAUCCUAUGGGAGCCAAAAUACGAAGUCAAUGGUGAUAUGCUGCCAUUUACACUUUGGAAUCUCAAGCCUUUGAAAUAAUCCGCCCGGUCUCUGAUGCUUGUACUUUACCUGAUGACAGUUUAGGGAUCAAGCUACAAACCCCACUAUAUCUUUCUUCAUCCUUGUCUACCAACAGUGUUUCCUCAAGGCCUGGUCCAUUUUUGCAGCACCCGGAUGAAUGGAAUACCACAAAAUAUUGGCCUCUUCAAGAGUCGACUCACGCAGCCCAUCUACAUUAGGCACACAAAUCUGACCUUGCAUCCUCAACACCUCAUCAUAACCAAUAGUAACCUCCUUAGCAUUACCGUGUUGAAAUGUAUCCUUAAGGACAAGCAAAUGGGGAAUAUCAUACCGUCGUUCUCCUAUGAGAUCAUAUAAGAAAGGCCAAAAAAUCAAACAAGCUAGAACCCGACUAGGCUCCAAAAUAUCUAAUCUCGCAAAAUGAAUGGCCAAUGCCUGAACAUAUGAUGCAAGCGGUCUCUCACUACCAAGAAUAAAAGAAAGGCUACCCAUACUCACUGCCUUCCUACUCAAAGCAUUGGCCACCACAUUGGCCUUUCCGGGAUGAUAUAAAAUGAUAAUAUCAUAGUCCUUUAGCAUCUCCAACCAUGCGUUACAUGCUUCCUCAAUGUAUGGGUAUUCUGCUUCUUGAAAUCAUGAAACCAUGGAUUUCCAUCGAACUUUUCUUCAACAUGAGCACAACAAGCUGGCUGGUUACGGAUUUCUAUUGGGAUGAGAUCAAUAUAGUUCUCGUCUAGAUGUUAUAUCAUAGAAGACAAGGUUUCUAGCGCAUCCACAAACUCAUUCUGAACUCUCGAAACAUGUUUGAACUCUACCUUUGUGAACCACUUGAUCAAAUCUUGCACACAGUGUAGGUAUGGCAACAUCUUGGUGUUCUUGGUUGCUCAUUCUCUAAGUACCUUAUGUAUUAGCAAAUCUGAAUCUCCAAUUACUAGCAAUUCCUUAAUAUUCAUGUCAAUGGCGAAUCUGAGUCCUCAGAUGCAAGCCUAAUAUUCCGCCCUAUUGUUGGUGCACGGGAACUUGAGCUUGGCGGAUACUAGAUAAUGUUGACCGGUUUCUGAUGCGAAAAUAGCUCAUAUGCCCACUCUUUGAAUUUUGUGGCUCCAUAUAAAAACAUCCUCCAACCAUCAUACGCUUCAACAAUGUCUUCCCCUAUGAAUGAUACUUCCUCGUAGGGAAUAUGCGUCUUCAAUGGUUCAUAUUCUCUGUCCAUAGGGUUCUCCGCAAAGUGAUCGGCCAAUAGUUGCCCCUUGACUACCUUCUGGGUCACAUAGAGGAUGUCGAACUCACUCAGUAGUAUUUUCCAUUUUGCUAGCUUGCCCAUAUGCAUAGGCUUCUAAAAUAUGUAUUUUAGUGAAUCCAUCCUUGAUAUGAGUUAUGUGGUGUAUGCAUAGAAGUAAUGUCUCAAUUUCUGGGCUAUCCAUGUCAGGGUGAAACAGGUAUGUUCCGAUGACGCCUAAAUCCACUACUAAAAAUGAAUGGAUACGGUCACAUGCAAUAAUAUACCCAAUUAUAAGUCGAGGUCAAAUCCCACAGAGAACAAUAUGUAGGCAAUUAGGAGUGUAAGAGAAUUAUCACUUAUUAUGCUAAGCCAAACACUUAGAAUGAUUUUAAGAAAAUAUUUAUAGCUAAAUGCAAAAAUAUAAACUAAGCUAUAAAGCAAGUAAAAUGAUCAAUGGCUACAAGCACAGAUGCAAUGGGAAUUACACUCAAGUAACGAUCCAAUGUAUUUCACAAUUUUACAAAUAUGAGCAAGUUUAUUUUAAUUAGCCUCGGUUAAUAAUUCUUUAUUAGCUUCUUCCGAAGACUAACAAGACUUCCUAGUUGAAUUAUCCCUAAAACAAUUAAGAGAUUAGGUACACUCGAAUAUGGCUACAAGUAGUUCAAUCUUGUCCCUAGGUAGAAUCCAUAAAGUGAUGGUUAAAGCCUCAAGUUCUUGUUAAUCAAUCUUUCCCAACCCCAAAUUGUCUUUCCCAAAAUUAAUUCGAAGUAAAUGGGCGAGUCCUAGGGUUAGCUAAUCCCUUUGACAACAUUAAAGAAUAAGAAUAAUUAAAUAAACAAUAACUCACUUCAAUAUAACUAAAAAUUGUUCAAUACAUAAGCACAACAAGAUAUUUAAUCCACACUUUAAUAUGAAUAUUUCCAUUAACAAGAUUCAAGUGUUGAAAAAAAUACUACACACUUAAAUAUUCAAUAUAAAGUAAGGAAAUGAAGAAAUGAGCAUAAAUGAGUAAGCAAUUCUCAACCAAAAGCUUCAAAUCUUCAAGACCUAAGUGUGUGUGCAAGCUGACCAGGCUUUCUUUUUGGCAUUCGCACAGCUUCAACCGCGUUCGCAUAGCUUCAUUAACCCGGACUUCUGCGAUUGCAUAUAACUCUCCGUGAUAUUAAACUAGUACUUGUCCUCAAGCAAUUCGACAACUAAGAACAUCAUUAAAUAAAAUAAGCUCAAUGGCGUAUCAAACAUCAUUUCAGCUCACAAAGGUUCAAAUUGGACACAAUCUAGUGACUUCAGUUGGUACCAACAAUCAAUCCAAAAAAUAUGAAUCACCAACAAUUUCUCACAAAUUCCAUUUAAAUUUAAGUGCUGAAACACCACAGUAAUCAAAGUAGAAACCAAGUCAUGACACUAAAGCUUCAAAAUUUGCCUCAUUAUUACAAAUAAUUUUCUUUUGUACAUUCCUGCCUAUUGGAUUUUGGAUUAAGUUCAAAACCUAAAAUUUUCUGUGCCCUCACACUUAAGACAGAGUCACCAACAUAUAAAUUGCAAUUAAUAAACAAAUGGGAUAUCAAAUGGAAAGAAUUAAUGCUCUCUCAUACAAAGAUAUUCAAAUGCACAUAAGUAAUGACAUAUGCUUGCCCUUCAAGUAUUUCUCCACUAAUGUAGACACUUGGUUCAAAAUAAAGUAGGACUUAAAGGAUGGUAGAGUAGGUUUUUGGUUAAGGUAGGACACAACAUGGAUAACAGUGACUCAAAACCUCCCUAAGCACUAUAAUUUUCAACUAUUAAAGCACACUUCCUUCAAAAAUUUAUCCAUCCUUUCUUCACUUUUUAUUUCAUACCUAAUCUUCCCUUUAUCCACAAAUCCUUAUUUUUUUCCCUUUUCUUCUUUAUUACUCUACUUUUUUCAUAAAUCAAGGAAGGUUCCACUACUAUUUUUUUAUUACCUUUCACCUUUUCUGCAACUUACACAACAUAACUUUUCCAACCUUCAGCCACAAACUUAGGCUUUUAGCCUAUGUUUACACUUUCAAAGUACUUAGGGAGGUAGGAUGCCAAAAGAUAAAUCAAUAAAGAAUGAAGGGUUUAAGCUUGUAACAUAGUUGCCAAAGAAAAAGUUUAAAGGCUCAAAAGGGGCUGACUAGGGAAAAUCUGCAAGGGUAGAAAAUUUAAGGCAUAAUAACGGUCCAAGGAAGGCCUAACAUCAUUUUUCAAACCAAGUUAGUCUAGGAUUUUGCUUUGAAGCACAUUCCGGGCAAGUUCUAGACUACAAAUAAUGCACGAGAAUUCACAACAAGUCUCACCACACAUGGCACAUGGAAACUCGAUUGCCAUAUAAAUCCAAAAUCCAAUUAAAAUCAAUAAACCGAAAGAAAAUCACAUAUAGCCUAAAAGACCACUUAAUGAAUCAAAGAGCCAAAAAUAGAACCUAAACUUCACAACAAGUAUUAUCACAUCAAUCAUUUUUCAUUUUAAAGAUCAAGAUUUCAUAUAUCAAAGUUUAAAUCAUGUUGGUACCAAACAAGCUACACGUUGGUUUAUGGACAAUAAGAUCACAACCCAAAACCAAUUUAUUCACUAUUAGCUACUAAACUAACUAAAUUUUUUUUACCUAAAACUAGACAAGACUAAUCCUUUAAGAAAGUUGUCACGCUAUCCAUCAUAGAGAAAAGUCACCCGGUUCGACACAAAUUAUCUUCUUGAAAAAGAACAGUGACAUAAAUAAAAAUCAAGGAGUUUAAUUAGCACUACUACAAAUAAAUAUAGUAACGAAAUAACAAAAUAAAAACUAAUGCUAACAUGCUAGAAAUAAACUACAAAAUAUCACUAAUAAACUACAAAUGUUAACCAAUCUACACAAGUUCACAAAAAAUCGUCAUGCUCCAAAUACAUCAUCACAUAUUAAUGAGCUACCCCUAACCUAAAGUGUUGCACUGUCCUCAAUGCAACUAAACAAAACAAGAUGAAAUGAAAGAGGUGCUCCCUGAAACUGCAUCACUUGGAGCUGAAAGUGGUGGGAAAUUCGAGCUCCAAAUUCUGCUCCUCAUCGUCCUCUGAUUCAUGUGAGCCACAGAAUGAACUCAUCUUGUGCAUCAUUUUGGACAAGACUUUUCUUUUCUUUUUCUCAUGCUCAUUGAAAUUCUGUUGUUGCCUCUCAAUAUUUCCUUGUCUUCGGCUCAUGUCUUCCAACCUAUUUUUUAUUGCUUUUUGUUCUUGAACUACAUCAUCUAGAGAUGUCUUCUUACCAGUCCCAGUAGAAGUUCCCUCCCUAGAUUGACUGGACGGAAGGCUAGCUACAAGUUGGCAAAUGUGUGCAUCGAUGCCAUAGAUUUGACUAGAGAGGAAGCGCAUAGUGGGAGGUCCAUAAAUUCCUAAAUUAUAGAUUUGUCAUCCAUAAUAGCAGCAAUCAACAAUGCCUUCUCAGGCGUCGCCUCAAACUCAUGUUUAGACGGCAAGAUUCUGGUAGCAAUAAUGGACAGCCAUGUCUUGGCUUCAACUAUGAACCAGGAAGAAUUAACACCUUUGUGCAAUCUUUCCCAAGUCAGAGUCACCCGUAGUCCGCAACACAUUUUAUAUAACAUUGUUGAGAUUUGGAUUUGGGUCACAUGAAAUGCACACCGGAGUUUAGGAAGGUAAUUUAAAAUUACGCGCCUAAAGCAACUACGCACUUUAAAGUUUGCAAGGGCCAUGGAAAAUUCAACUAAUGGCACACCUCGAUUCUAAUUUCAAAGGAUGUUUGAACUAAACUUUUGAGGGUCAUAAAUUAUAUCUUGCCUAAUAUGGCACACCUCUAAUUAUUUCAAAGGGUUUUAUUAUUUGAAGUUGUUAUAAUCGGGUUACAUGAAAUGCAUACCUGAAUUUAGAAAAUUAAGCAUCGUAACUAUGUCACAGGAACCGUACCCAUAAUCACGAUGGUUUAUUAUUAAUCGCGUCUAAAGUAAGCUAUGAUGUUUAAAGAACAAACUCAAACAAGUGACACUGGAACAUCAACCAACAGAGCAGAUGGCCAAGAAAUUCAAAAAUCCACAUCAAUUAAAUCAACAAAGAAAUAGCAAUUUGAAGAAUUCUAUAUGAGCUCAGCUCAAAGACAAUGUGAAUGGAACUGAAGCAAGAAUUUCAGUGCAAUGUAUCAAAAACGAGACUACUGAAUCACUCAAGCUUGGCCAAUCGAGUUUGCGCACAAAAAUUUGUUCCUUGAAAGACUAUUUCCACGAAUGAGCUUAUAGAUUCUAGGCACCCCAUGCUCAUUUGUUUAGAGCAAAUUAAGAACAAUCCAAAGAACAACAAAUCAUGACUUAAUCUAUUGGUAAUUAAUCAUAUAGUAGCCAACAAUUGCGAUUAAAUUGAUGUAAUGAAAUUCCUUCAGUUCUACCUAUGGGACUACACCAAUUAGUCGUUCAUUUGCCUUUUACAUGUUUUCAUUAACGUUUCCCUUCACCAUUUCACAAGAAGACAAAGAAGAAAAAUGCACAUUUAUAUGUUUGUUUCCAAUAGAAUAAACACAAUAAAUUCUAACUUAGCAACUCAACCUUAUGUUUCAAUGUAAGGCUCCAGCGAUUAAACAGAUCAAUAAUAAUUAUCAAACAAAAUAAUGACCGAGAUGGUGACAUAUGAAAAAUUUCUAACAAUUCUUAUUACCAAUAAAAUAUGCAAAUUUAUAUUGUUUAAUCAAGGAAAAGUACCUUGAAAGCAGUAACAAGGCUUUAAAAUUGCCAAAUAAUGGUUGAAAAAUACCAGUUAGCAAUUCCGGUGCAAACAGCAACAAAUACAGCAGCAAUUCACGGAAAUUUCAAACCGAAGUAAUGCUUAUGAACCCAAAAAAUGGGAAUGACCACUAGUAGCAAGUUUCGACUCAAAGCUUUAGAGAAAACCCAAGAAUUUGCAGCAAUUUAUGUCGAACUUAGGAACACCCUUUUAAUUUUCUUUUUUCGUCGACUUGACUCGAUUUCUGAACAGAGAAGGGGAAUUAAAGGUGGGGAAUAACGUUCCCUUUGUUGAAAAUCAGAAGAUGAGCGAGUUGAGGAAGGAUAAGGAAAGCGGAUGUUUUGAUUUUUCUUUGGAGAAAACGAGGGGAAAUAGGUUAGGUUUCAUUGGAUGUAGAAGAAGGAUGAAGCCAUUUGAAAAUGGAAUGGAGGACUGAAUUUUUGGUCUCUAGGCAGCCAUUAAAGGUGCUGCCCCUAGCUUCUCUCCAGGGGAGCCUCCCUAUCUCCUUAGGUUUUGUUAGGUUUUAAUUAAAAAGGGUCUUGGGGUCAAACCGGGUAGUGUC